GUACACUCCUGCGGGAGGCAGCAGUGGGGAAUUUUGGACAAUGGGCGAAAGCCUGAUCCAGCCAUGCCGCGUGCAGGAUGAAGGCCUUCGGGUUGUAAACUGCUUUUGUACGGAACGAAACGGCCUUUUCUAAUAAAGAGGGCUAAUGACGGUACCGUAAGAAUAAGCACCGGCUAACUACGUGCCAGCAGCCGCGGUAAUACGUAGGGUGCAAGCGUUAAUCGGAAUUACUGGGCGUAAAGCGUGCGCAGGCGGUUAUGUAAGACAGUUGUGAAAUCCCCGGGCUCAACCUGGGAACUGCAUCUGUGACUGCAUAGCUAGAGUACGGUAGAGGGGGAUGGAAUUCCGCGUGUAGCAGUGAAAUGCGUAGAUAUGCGGAGGAACACCGAUGGCGAAGGCAAUCCCCUGGACCUGUACUGACGCUCAUGCACGAAAGCGUGGGGAGCAAACAGGAUUAGAAACCCCAGUAGUCC
rnacentral:rRNA from 1 species